GUGUCUGUGGGUGGCUCAACAGAGAGGUGCAGCCCUGGUGAGGUGGAGGAAGGCAUGGCGGUUCAUUUUCAGCUUUCUUGAAUUGGAGCACUGAGUAUCCUGUAUGUACCGGGUGCUGGUGUGAGCAUGGCCACUGUGGCAGCAUUUUCAAGACAUUUUCAAGGUGUGGCCUGCUGUGACUCGGUGAGCCUUGUGUAUCGCUUGCAAAGGCUCAAGUGAGCCGAGUGUCUUGGUGGCGUCAGAUUUCGCAGCGCAGUGAUGUAAGUUUAACUGUUAGUAAUUAGAAGACUCUGUGCGCCUUCGUCUUAAAGUCCACGUUUCCAUUAUUUAGCAGCUCAGCUGCCCCAGAAGGAAUAGCUGCUGUAAAUUAGGCUAAAGCACGAGAGAAAUUAAAUCUAGUUAAAGUCCAUCACAGUAACAAAAAUAACUCCAUAAACUAAAAAUAUUAGAAACUUGACUAGGCAUCUUGACUUGGUAAUUUUGUUUGCUUGCUUGUUUGUUUUGUUGAAACAGGGUCUCUCUGUGUUAGCCCAGGCUGGCCUGGACUCCUGAUCCUUCUGCCUCAGCCUCAGUUGCUGGAAUUGUGGAUGUAUGGCAUCAUGUCAAGUCACGCACUUAUUAAAGCACUGAUGUUAAAACUCCAAUCAGGCGGACAGUGUUCACUUCUGAAAACCAAACGAAAGUCUGGCCAGGUGGGGAGGUCUGCUGCAGAUGGCUAGGACGCCCACUCUGUCACAGCCGUGCUGUGGCUGCUUCUCCUGCACUGUGUCCUCAUCUACAGUGGAAUAAUUUGUAUUUUCAGUGUUAAUUUCAUGAAUGGAUAGACUUGCUUGCUUAAUGUUUAAAAUAAAUGUACAGAUUUUAAUGAGUGGAACAGAUCUAUAAACAGGCUGUUGAUGCACCCUUUUUCCCUUGGUUUAAGAGUAGUGUUUAUGGGGCUGAGGAUUUAGCUCAGUGGUAGAGCGCUUACCUAGGAAGCACAAGGCCCUGGGUUCGGUCCCCAGCUCCGAAAAAAAAGAACCAAAAAAAAAAAAAAAAAAAAAAAAAGAGUAGUGUUUAUUUAUUUGAAAGGAGCUGUAAUAGGAUGUUACAGCAGGCUCUGCACUUACAUACCCUAACAGUCAGGCCCUCCCCACUCAAUGUCCUCCCCACUUCAGGCUUGGCUGAGAGGAAGGCUCUGCAGCCAGUGUGUGUCCCAGAAUCCUCUGGUAAGCCGUCUCAUUUGUAUUCUGGAAAAGGUGAUUUUCAAAUUUUUGUUUCUGGCAGCCAGAACACCAAGGUUAGUUUGGAAGGAGAGGGGGAAUCGUUACUUCAUCCGCAGCCUGAUUUAGAGUUAUGAUUAUAGUUUCCGCGAUUUCAUUUCCAUUUUAGGUUGCUGUGGCCCUUCCCCCUUUCUCUCUUUGAACUAUUAACAAACAAGGAAUACCUUUUUACUUUUAGAGCUGUGAAUUAAGGAAUGGGCAGAGUUUACAUUUACACACACCUGUGUCUGCCCAGUUUCUUCCCCUUCCCCCUCUUCCCUUUUGAGAUAGAGUCCAAUAUAGUUCAGGCUGGCCACAAACCCUCUGUGUAGCCCAGGUUAGCCUUUAAACUCCUAAUCCUCCUACCUCCACCUGACGAACCACUAUGCCCAGCUUCUCCUCCACCCCUUAACAUAUAUAAUUUUUUCUCUCUUCCUUUUCCUUAAAAUACUAGAACCCAUAGUUCUUCCUAGUGCCUUUGAGCUGCCCCUGCAGUCUGACUAAUUAGAAUCAGUGAAACCCUGAGUAGCGUUACUGUAGUGCUGUUACCGACCAGGAUACAAACUGUACAGAAAGUUUGCUGUGUUAAUACAAAAUCCACAUUUGAGUUGUGUUUUAUGUAUAAAUAUGUACUUGUCCAAGCUGUAUAUAUCAGUGUGUGUGUACAUGCAGCACGGUAAGAUGAGAAAUAAAUGCCUUCCCAACACC
rnacentral:lncRNA from 1 species